UACAGAGGGUGCAAGCGUUAAUCGGAAUUACUGGGCGUAAAGCGUGCGUAGACGGUUAUGUAAGUCAGGUGUGAAAGCCCCGGGCUCAACCUGGGAAUUGCAUUUGAGACUGCAUAGCUAGGGUGCGGAAGAGGGAAGCGGAAUUUCCGGUGUAGCGGUGAAAUGCGUAGAUAUCGGAAGGAACACCAGUGGCGAAGGCGGCUUCCUGGUCCAGCACCGACGUUCAGGCACGAAAGCGUGGGGAGCAAACAGG
rnacentral:rRNA from 1 species